UACGGGGGGGGCAAGCGUUGUUCGGAAUUACUGGGCGUAAAGGGCCCGUAGGCGGCCAACUAAGUCGGAUGUGAAAUCCCCAGGCUCAACCUGGGAACUGCAUCCGAUACUGGAUGGCUUGAAUCCGGGAGAGGGAUGCAGAAUUCCAGGUGUAGCGGUGAAAUGCGUAGAUAUCUGGAGGAAUACCGGUGGCGAAGGCGGCAUCCUGGACCGGCAUUGACGCUGAGGAGCGAAAGCUAGGGGAGCAAACGGG
rnacentral:rRNA from 1 species